CCUCCCAUGAUGAAAUUGGUAUACAAGAGGGAUUUAAAACCCCUUGCCGUUAUCGGCGUGCGAGUUCGAGUCUCGCUGGGAGGA
rfam:Chitinophaga pinensis DSM 2588, complete genome.